CUUCUUCAAGAAGCCAUCGACUAGCUUCGGCUGCACGACAAGAAUUCCAAUAUUUUUCUUCGCAUGGCGCAAGACAUGGAAGAUGAAGACCAUGAGCUCGAGGUUGCGACGUACCAACAUCGUAGGCGUCGUGCACUUAACGAGCGUCGGUAUGCUGGUUCCAUUCCUGGUCGUGUUCGAAUCCAUCGUGACCAUAUCAGUGGUGAUGCAAGAAUCCGAGCCGACUACUUUUGCGCGCAACCGGUGUACACGGAUGCACAAUUUCGGAGGAGGUUUCGCAUGCGUCGCCAUGUGUUCGAGCGCCUCGUUG